GUAGACAUAGUUUAAGCAAAACGUUAGGCCGUGACUCUAAAAAUAGGAGAUAAAGUCUUCUUGUCUGCC
rnacentral:tRNA from 2 species